AGUUGACAAGUACUUUUCAAAUUUUCCCACAAUUUUCUGAUUAUCCAAAAUGCACGUAGUUAGACAAUUAUUCAAUUUUCACCAACCAAAACUGAAUGUGAGUUUUCAAAUUCAAGCGAUUACGUUGAAAUUACAUAAGUUGUGUAUCGAAGUUACGUGCGGUUAAUGUUGGUUGAUGAAAUCUAUACAAGUGUUGAUGGAAAAAUUAUGUGAACGGGAGUAAAUUUGAUUUAAUUUUUUUUUGGCUUGAGAUUUUAUGACAGCUGCUUUCUUUGUGUGUGUAUACAGAGCAACGCAGACUGAUUAGCGCACUUGCUGAGCGGAUGUAGCUGGAGUACUUGAGAAAGGGGAAACGGAAAUGCAUGAAUUUGGUUUGAAAAUAUUGGAAAUCGGUUAACUGUUUAUAACUAAGCAUUUAAGGGAAAUUGCGAAUAAUUUUUGAGAGUCAGAGAGUCAUGAGAGCUAGCACAGUGCGCUGACAGCUUGCAUAUAUUACGGAUUAUAGCUGCAUAACCAGAGGUUGGUAGUCUUUUUAAAGUGAAGGAGUGCAAUUUCAAUCGGAUUAAAAUAUUUUUACAUAUAAAGUUGAAAAGUGCAAUACUUUAUGGAAAUUUAUAUAUAAAAUUUAGAAAUAACUAGCUAAAAGUGUUAAAUAAAUGUUGUGUUUAAGAUAAAUGAGAAAUUCCUACAAAAACUUGAAUGAAAUGGACUAGAGCAAUGUAGUCUUUAUUCGAGUUAGUUUGCAUAUACAUAUACAGUGGUGGCGUUUAAAUUAAGAUCGGUUAUAAACGAUCUGCAGCAGAGUAAAAUAAAAGAUGCAAUAAUGAAUCUUCACAAUUUUCAAUUGUGGGAUCUCGUAUUUUAAAGAAAUAACUAGCUAUAUAAAUGGAUUUUCUAAGGGGUCGUCAUCUGGCAUGCAAAGGUGAGCUUUCUAUCAUAUUUGCGACAUGCAAAGGACUUUAAUAAAAGACAUCAGUUAUGCUAAGUUGUAUAUAGAUCCUUCUAUGACCUUUUUGGCCGAAUAAUAUUGAGGCGCACAUAAACAAGGGAAUGGGAAGCAUCGCCAAAAUCGCUAGUAACGCUGUGUAUUAAUUCAAAGGCCAUCACUGCAUCUAUGAUAACUUAGAGAGGGCUGGAAUAAAUACUGCUGGUAAUCCACGCUAUUGGAAAUCCAUGAAAGAGAACACACAGUUCCAAAGUACAUCAAUUUUAACGUCUUCAAGAAAUUAAAAGUACAACACAAUUUUACCGCACAGCUGCUACCAAUGCCGCUAAUUUAUUUCUUAUUGAGUAGUUAAGAAACGCUAUUGGCUCACAACAGAUUGAUUAAUAAGCGCUUACGCAGCAAAAAAUGGAGGAAAUG